GACGAACGCUGGCGGCGUGCUUAACACAUGCAAGUCGAACGGAAAGGCCCUGCCUUUGUGGGGUGCUCGAGUGGCGAACGGGUGAGUAACACGUGAGUAACCUGCCCUUGACUCUGGGAUAACUUCAGGAAACUGGGGCUAAUACCGGAUAGGAGCUCCUGCUGCAUGGUGGGGGUUGGAAAGUUUCGGCGGUUUGGGAUGGACUCGCGGCUUAUCAGCUUGUUGGUGGGGUAGUGGCUUACCAAGGCUUUGACGGGUAGCCGGCCUGAGAGGGUGACCGGCCACAUUGGGACUGAGACACGGCCCAGACUCCUACGGGAGGCAGCAGUGGGGAAUAUUGCACAAUGGGCGGAAGCCUGAUGCAGCAACGCCGCGUGCGGGAUGACGGCCUUCGGGUUGUAAACCGCUUUCGCCUGUGACGAAGCGUGAGUGACGGUACUGGGUAAAGAAGCACCGGCUAACUACGUG
rnacentral:rRNA from 1 species